CUUCAGACAUUUUAAUCCAAACCUUGAGCUCCCGCCGGGGAGCAGGGUCCGGGGCUCCGUGCAGCUCCUACAAGCAGCUGCAUGUCCCCCCCUCCGGCUCCGACGCAUAGGUGCACCCAAGGGGCUGAUACACUGCCCCCCGCCAUAAGUGCCCCCCCCCCCGCACCUCCCAUUGGCUCGGAACCACGGCUAAUGGGAGCUGCAGGGGCAGCACCUAUGGACAGGGCAGAGCACAGAGCUGCCUGGCCACACCUCUGCAUAGGCGCCAGAGAGGGGACAUGCUGCUACUUCUGGGAGUGGCUUGAAGUAAAAUGCCAGAGCUGUCGAGGAAUGAAGUCGCUUCACUGGAGGCGCAAGGCUUCAAGAACAACACAGGUAAACCCGUAUCAAGCGAAGGAAGAAACCCAUCUUGAGAAUAAGGAGGUAAUCCAAAAUAUCAGGAGACACAUAGUGGUGCUGGGCCUAGACAGAGAAAUGCUUUCACUCGGCAAGGUAACGUUUUUUGGUUGAGAC